CGAGCCCGCCCCCGGGGGCGGCCCGGCGGCCCUGCAGCCCCACCAGUGGCCGCAGGAGAUGACGGACAGCGCGGGGCCGGCGGCUCUUCCGCUGCCUCUCGCGGUCCUGCUCAGCACCUGGUCCCUACCACAACAGCAACGCCCGCGUAAUACCUGCCAGGCGACUCCCAAAGACCCAGGUCCUGUAAGGGAAUUAAAACGUGAAAGGGAAUAACACUGUGACGGCAGCGCAUGGAAUAUCGGCGAGUGAAAUACGGAUCUCUGGUCACUAUGUUCGUCUGCCUUUGAGGACACAAACCUGGAAACUUCCCACUGAUCUGUGGACAAACAAUGCCUUCCAGCCAGCCACAGUGCAUUCAAGUGUCUGGAAGUCCUCUCAGACACAGUGCUGUGUUAAAGCCACCAGAUGAUCUGCUGAGACUUGAGUGAAGCUUUUCUGGGGACAGCUUCCACUGGCUGCAGGCUGUCACCAUUGAAUACAAUGGAUGCAGAGAGAGGGAAAACCUUUGUCUGCAAAGCACAAACAGGGAGUGCCCCAGAAGGCUGCCUCUCUGCUUCUUGCUGAAACUCCGUGUUGCUGCCAUGCCCUGGUGAUGUCAUGCCCUGGUGGUGCCAUGCACUGAUGGCUCCAGCUGUGGGCAGAACUCAGUUGUCCCAGCUGAUCCCAGCUGUCAGCGAACUGGGAGCUGCUGGCACACCUUGCAUUUCCCACACAC